rnacentral:tRNA from 1 species
GGCCGGUAGCUCAGUCGGUAGAGCAGCGGACUGAAAAUCCGCGUGUCGGCGGUUCGAUUCCGCCCCCGGCCU